rnacentral:lncRNA from 1 species
CACAUUAUACAAGGACAUUCAUUGAAAGCAGGUGAGAAAUUCUUUAGUAUAAGAAAAUAAGGCCUAAAAAUAAGUAAUGCUUUUAUUUUAUUUUAUUUUUUUCAGACAGGAUCUCACUCUGUCACCCAGGCUGGAAUGUAGCGGUGCAGUCUCGGCUCACUGCAACGUCUGCCUCCCAGGUUCAAGUGAUUCUUCUGCCUCAGCUUCCUGAGUAGCUGGGAUUACAGGCAGCCACCACUAUGUUAAGCUAAUUUUUGUAGUAAAUAAUAAAAGUAGACCCAUACUGAUUCAGAUAUUUUAGUCACCAGAAAGAAAUCCUAAUACUGCCCUCUUCAUUGAAAAAAAUGUCUUUUUUUUAAUUUUAUGCUUACUAUUUACCAAACAUUAUCACAUUAAAUUCACAAAAAUUCUAUCAUUAACCCUUUGUAGAUAAGGAAACUGAGGCUUAGAUCUAUUAAUUAGGUAGUCUGAGAUUUACUUUGCUAGAAUGAGUGGAGCCUAUACUC